rnacentral:rRNA from 1 species
AGUCGUGACAAGGUUUCCGUAGGUGAACCUGCGGAAGGAUCAUUAGUGAAUAAAUAGGGUGUCCAAUUUAACUUGGAACCCGACCUUCUCACAUCUAACCCUGUGCAUCUGUAUUUAAUGGCGAGCAAUUUUCGGAUUGUGAGCCAUUUCACUUUAUAAACACUAGUCUAUGAAUGUAAAAUUUUUAUAACAAAUAAAAACUUUCAACAACGGAUCUCUUGGCUCUCGCAUCGAUGAAGAACGCAGCGAAAUGCGAUACGUAAUGUGAAUUGCAGAAUUCAGUGAAUCAUCGAAUCUUUGAACGCAUCUUGCGCUCUCUGGUAUUCCGGAGAGCAUGUCUGUUUGAGUGUCAUGAAUUCUUCAACCCAACUGUUUCUUGUAAACAGCUGGUGUUUGGAUUCUGAGCGCUGCUGGCUUCGUGCCUAGCUCGUUCGUAAUACAUCAGCAUCCCUAAUACAAGUUUGGUUUGACUUGGCGUAAUAGACUAUUCGCUAAGGAUUCAAUGUUCGCAUUGAGCCAACUUAAUUAAGGAAGCUUCUAAUUGAAAAGUCUACCUUUAGAUUAGAUCUCAAAUCAGGCAGGAUUACCCGCUGAACUUAAGCAUAUCAUAAAAGUCG